UCUCUUUAUUGUGUUUGUUUUUUUUUUUUUUUUUUCUUUUCGAAAGAGAAGAGAACAUGGAGAACGCAGGCGAACCGAUAGAGCCAUAGAGGAGAGACAUAAACAUGGCGAACGCAGCCGUUCUGGUUUGGUUUGGUUUGUUACACUGAUGGAUUGCGAAUAAAUUUGCAGAGAUUAGUUGUAAAGCGAUUGCCGUACGGACAUUGCAACAACUCCCCUAUAAAAAUUACUCAGCUAAACACAAAAACAGUUUCUGUUCACAACACUAAACUAAAGACAAUUUGUAGCCAUCACAACCAUGAGAGAAUGAGAAAGAGAGCAACUAAUACUCUGAAGAGAGCGGAGUUAAACAGAGGAGCUUGGACUGAUCAUGAAGACAAGAUCCUAAGAGAAUACAUAACCACUCAUGGUGAAGGCAAGUGGAGCACUCUCCCAAACCAAGCUGGUACGAAUCUCUCUAUUUAUCCAUCUUUAUGUGUACAUGGUACAUCUUCGACGUACAGUAAUAGUCUUCUGCAAACAUAACAGGGCUCAAGAGUUUAACAAAAGUUGUAGACUUCGGUGGAAGAACUAUUUGAGACCGGGAUAAAGCGCAGAAGCACCUCAUCUGAGAAAGAACUCAUAAUCCGUCUCCAUAAUCUAUUUCGAAACAAUGGUCAUUGAUAGCUGGGGAGGCUUCCAGGCUGAACAGACAACAGAAUAAAGAACCAAUGGAACUCCAACCUCCUCAAUAGACUUCCCAAAACUCAAACCAACCAACCGAAACGUAUACAACAUUCGACCAAUAAUGAGAAUAAUGUUUGUGUUAUACGUACAAAGGUGAUUAUGUGCUCAAAGGCUCUUCUUCUCUUCAAAAGCGGAGUAGUACCAGCAUAUGUUAUCAAACCUAAUUCAGCUUGGUUUUCUUAGUUUCAAAUAGAAUAUGAAAGCUGGAAGCUGUUACAUGAUUUAUUGUUUCUAGGUUUUUGUAUAAAAUAAAUUUUCUACACCAGUGUAAAUGUGGUUGAAAGGCUGAUGACGAUGGUGGGGUGGAGUCUGAAGUAGAAGAAGGUGAGAUUGAUGUUCACGGAGAGGCCAAAGCUAAGCCUGACAGGGAAGAUGGUGUUGUAGAACUAGAACUUGAUCCUGGUGUAAAUGAGGAUGAGAAGGAGUUAUUGCAUGAGUUUGAUGUUGUUGACACACAAAAAAGUUAUAAGAAAGAGAUGGUGAUAUUGAUAACGAAGACAUGUGGGGAUAGUAAACACAAAAAAGUUAAGUACAGUAUUAUGAAAGUUUAUUGUGCUGAUUUUAUUUUACAAGAAACUGUAUCUAAUGAGAUGGAAGAUGAGAGCCAAGCAGAA